rnacentral:lncRNA from 1 species
CUGAUUUUAAGGUUUCCAAUUCCGAGAUGCUAAAAACAUCAAGUACUUUCUGCGAUACAGGUCCAAAAUCCUCAUUCAGAUGUAAGUAUACAGCUGCAGUCUAGGGCCAAAGGUAAAUACUUUUAGAUUACCCUCUCAAACAGAGUUGACCAAGCUUUUCAAACUUUCAUGCAAUUGAUCAUACUAUUAAAAUUAAGUAUCCCUCCUCUAAAUACUCUGAAUCCCAGAUUUUGUUUCUGGAAUUAAAUCACCCAAAAGACACCCACAUGGAUUUGAAAAUGCCUGUAACAGCCACCAAGGGCUCAUGCUGAAAAACCGGGGUUUCAUUUUUCUUAUUCAAGAGGGAGAACCAAAACAGUUUCUUUUGGCAGAUUUUGCUUUAGCUCAUCAACUGGAGAACCUGAUGUUUUGCCAAAGAAAUAUGCAAAUGGAUGCUUGAUUAAAUAAGAUGAAAACUUUGUUGCUGAGAUAUGGCUUUUCUUCCCAUUUCUAACUCCAUUCAUUUCAUGCUCGCUGAAGCAAGCCUAACUAAGCCCUCCAUGACUUUCGGUGGGACAGUAACCCUCCGCGUCUACAUAAACCCUGCUCGUGCUGUGGGUUCCCUAUGCGUCCAAGACAGGUGGACCUUCCAUCAUCCUCUGCAGGUCACCUUGGAAGUCAGGCGGAAGCACUAUCCUGCCAGUUUCGCUGGCUUAGUGACCACUUCCAAUUCCUUCUGGCAACCCACAGAUUUAGAUGGCAUGGUUGCACACUGUUCACCUACUUGCUAUUCGAAGAGGAUUUGUCGUCACGUGGCCAAUGCUGAAGAGAUGGUCUGUGUAGUUGCCCUGGUCCCUCGAGUCUCAAAAAUACAUCCAACAACAGAUGCAAAGCCCUAAUAAUAAAAAAUAAUGAAACAGGUGACUGUCA